CCUACGGGAGGCAGCAGUGAGGAAUAUUGGUCAAUGGCCGGAAGGCUGAACCAGCCAUGCCGCGUGAAGGUCAGUGCCCUAUGGGCGUUAAACUUCUUUUGUGCGGGAGCAAUAAUGGUCACGUGUGGCCAGACGAGAGUACCGUACGAAUAAGCAUCGGCUAACCCCGUGCCAGCAGCCGCGGUAAUACGGGGGAUGCAAGCGUUAUCCGGAUUUAUUGGGUUUAAAGGGUGCGUAGGCUGUGAGGUAAGUCAGCGGUGAAAUGCCCCCGCUCAACGGGGUGAAGUGCCAUUGAUACUGGCGUGCUGGAAUGCGGAUGCCGUGGGAGGAAUGGGUGGUGUAGCGGUGAAAUGCAUAGAUAUCACACAGAACACCGAUUGCGAAGGCAUCUCACGAAUCCGCGAUUGACGCUGAUGCACGAAAGCGUGGGUAUCAAACAGGAUUAGAUACCCGAGUAGUC
rnacentral:rRNA from 1 species